CCUGGCGCAAUAGCGCGGUGGUCCCACCUGACCCCAUGCCGAACUCAGAAGUGAAACGCCGUAGCGCCGAUGGUAGUGUGGGGUCUCCCCAUGCGAGAGUAGGACACUGCCAGGC
rnacentral:rRNA from 1 species